rnacentral:rRNA from 1 species
AUUGAACGCUGGCGGCAUGCUUUACACAUGCCAGUCGAACGGCAGCGCGGGCUUCGGCCUGGCGGCGAGUGGCGAACGGGUGAGUAAUGCAUCGGAACGUGCCCAGCAGUGGGGGAUAGCCCGGCGAAAGCCGGAUUAAUACCGCAUACGACCUGAGGGUGCAAGCGGGGGACCGAAAGACCUCGCGCGAUUUGAGCGGCCGAUGUGGGGUUAGCUAGUUGGUGGGGUAAAUGCUUACCAAGGAGACCAUCCGCAGCUGGACUGUGAGGACGACCAGCCACACUGGAACUGAGACACGGCCCAGACGCCUGCGGGAGGGAGCAGUGGGGAAUUUUGGACAGUGGGGGCAACCCUGAUCCAGCGAUGCGGCGUGCGGGAAGAAGGCCUUCGGGUUGUAAAGCGCUUUUGUUCGGGAAGAAAUCCUCUGGGCUAAUACGCAGGGGGGAUGACGGUACCGGAAGAAUAAGCACCGGCUAACUACGUG